rnacentral:rRNA from 1 species
CAGUCGCCGCGGGAAUAUGAAGGGGGCUAGCGUUGUUCGGAUUAACUGGGCGUAAAGGGCGCGUAGGCGGGUUUUUAAGUCAGAGGUGAAAUCCCAAGGCUCAACCUUGGAACUGCCUUUGAUACUGGAAGUCUUGAGUCCGGGAGAGGUGAGUGGAACUGCGAGUGUAGAGGUGAAAUUCGUAGAUAUUCGCAAGAACACCAGUGGCGAAGGCGGCUCACUGGCCCGAUACUGACGCUGAGGCACGAAAGCGUGGGGAGCAAACAGGAUUAGAUACCCGGGUAGUCCCUGUCUCUUAUAC